CCUUACACAUGCAAGUCGAACGGCAGCACGGUUUUCGGACUGGUGGCGAGUGGCGAACGGGUGAGUAACAUGCCGGAACGUAUCCAAUAUUGGGGGAUAACGCAGCGAAAGUUGUGCUAAUACCGCAUACGCCCUGAGGGGGAAAGCUGGGGACCGCAAGGCCUGGCGAUGAUGGAGCGGCCGACAUCUGAUUAGCUAGUAGGUGUGGUAAAGGCGCACCUAGGCGAUGAUCAGUAGCUGGUCUGAGAGGAUGAUCAGCCACACUGGGACUGAGACACGGCCCAGACUCCUACGGGAGGCAGCAGUGGGGAAUUUUGGACAAUGGGCGCAAGCCUGAUCCAGCCAUUCCGCGUGAGUGAAGAAGGCCUUCGGGUUGUAAAGCUCUUUCGGCAGGGAAGAAAAGUCUGACGUGAACAGCGUUGGAUGCUGACGGUACCUGAAGAAGAAGCACCGGCCAACUACGUGCCAGCAGCCGCGGUAAUACGUAGGGUGCGAGCGUUAAUCGGAAUUACUGGGCGUAAAAGGUGCGCAGGCGGUUUGUCAAGUCUGAUGUGAAAUCCCCGGGCUUAACCUGGGAACUGCGUUGGAAACUGACGGACUAGAGUGUAGCAGAGGGGGGUGGAAUUCCACGUGUAGCAGUGAAAUGCGUAGAGAUGUGGAGGAACACCGAUGGCGAAGGCAGCCCCCUGGGCUAACACUGACGCUCAGGCACGAAAGCGUGGGUAGCAAACAGGAUUAGAUACCCUGGUAGUCCACGCCCUAAACGAUGUCAACUAGUUGUCGGGAAGGGAGACCUUUUUGGUAACGCAGCUAACGCGUGAAGUUG
rnacentral:rRNA from 1 species